GUGGGAAUUUGGGUGUUAUUGAGGAAGAGACAACACAUAAAUGUGGGAAUUUGGGUCUUUUUGUGAGGCGAGGGUAUAAAAAUGUGGGAAUUUGGGUCUUAUGAAGACUACACAAAUUGGGGUGUUUAGGUGGGAAUUUGGGUCUUAUUAAGGAAGAAACAACACAUAAAUGUGGGAAUUUGGGUCUUUUUGUGAGGAGAGGGUACAAAAAUGUGGGAAUUUGGGGUCUUAUGAAGAGAAAAUACACAAAUGUGGGUAUUUAGGUGGGAAUUUGGGUGUUACUUAGGAAGAGAACGCACUAAUGUGGGAAUUUGGGUCGUAUUUAUGAAGAGAAGAUACACAAACGUGGAUAUUUAGGUGGAAAUUUGGGUCUUGCUUAUGAAGAGAAUGCAUAAAUGUGGGAAUUUGGGUCUUAUUCAUGAAGAGAAGAUACACAAAUAUGGAUAUUUAGGUGAGAAUUUGGGUCUUGUUUAUGAAGAGAGGACACACACACGUGGGAAUUUGGGUCUGUUUGUGAGGAGAGGGUACGAAAAUGUGGGAAUUUGGGCCUUUUUUAGGAAGAGGACACACAGAUGUGGGUAUUUAGGUGGAAAUUUGGGCCUUGUUUAUGAAGAGAUGACACAUAGAUGUGGGAAUUUGGGUCUUAUGAAGAGAGGAUACACAAAUGUGGAUAUUUAGGUGGAAAUUUGGGUCUUGUUUAGGGAGAUACAGAAAUUUGGGUAUUUAGGUGGGAAUUUGGGUCUUAUUGAGGAAGAGACAACACAUAAAUGUGCGAAUUGGGGUCUUUUUGUGAGGAGAGGGUACAAAAAUGUGGGAAUUUGGGUCUUAUGAAGAGAAAAUACACAAAUGUGGGUGUUUAGGUGGAAAUUUGGGCCUUGUUUAUGAAGAGAUGACACAUAGAUGUGGGAAUUUGGGUCUUAUGAAGAGAGGAUACACAGAUGUGAAUAUUUAGGUGAGAAUUGGGGUCUUUUUGUGAGGACAGGACACACAAAUGAGGGCAUUUCGCUCUGAUUCAUAACAACGCGUCCCACCAUCGCUCCCUCACGGAACCCAUCUGGCGCCAAA
rnacentral:lncRNA from 1 species